CAGAGUUCGUGCCCCCCGCGGGUAGAUCUCCCACCCUUGAAUAUAAUACCUCUGUUGCUUUGGCAGGCCCGCCUCGGCGUCCGGCUUCGGCUGGGAAGUGCCUGCCAAGGGACCCAAACUCUUAGAUUUUAGCGUCGUCCGAGUACUAUAUAAUAGUUA
rnacentral:misc_RNA from 1 species